rnacentral:rRNA from 1 species
AUGCAGGUUGGUUUGGAUGGGAUUCGGAUGCUUGAUCCCAACACUAGUAGGACACUGAGGAUAUAUCCCCUUGAAACUGUUACGAGAUGGGAUGUAUUGGAUUCUUCUGUAUUUGCCUUUUGGUCCAAGAGUUCGGUUGAUCUUGAAGCAAGAAGAAUACGGCUGAAGUCAAGCAGCUAUACAACCAACACCAUUCUGGACACUGUGACAGCUGCCUCUGUUCAGUUCAAGGAGAUGGCAAGCAGCGUUUCGAGAAGUAAAGCAGCUGUUGAUCCUGCGAGCCCUUCUGAACAGCAAAAUGAGAAGAGGAGGAAUUUCCUUGAUUGGAGGAACUUGGUGAAGCCUGUGACUGAGGAGAAAGACCACUGGGUCCCAGAUGAAGCGGUCAAUAAAUGCACAGCCUGUGCGGGAGAUUUCAGUGCCUUCAACCGCAGGCAUCACUGCCGGAACUGUGGUGAUAUUUUCUGUGAUAAGUGCACCCAAGGAAGGACUCCUCUAACUUCGGAUGCUGAUUCUCAACCAGUCCGAGUUUGCGACAGAUGCAUGGCUGAAGUUUCUCGAAGACUGAGCAGUGCAAAGGAAGCGGCAAAUCGACCUGUUGUUCACAGCCAUGAGGAUCUUGCCAAAAAACUUCAGGAAGCAAUGGAUAUAAAUAAGAAAUCAUCUUCAGGCUCAAGAUCUUCAGAGGGAUCUUCUGGCAAGCGAAUGCGAGAGGUCGCAUGCCCCAUCUGCACAGUGCACCUCCAGGUACAAGUCCCAGCAUCUGGCUCUGAGACGAUAGAAUGCGGUGUGUGCCAGCACCCUUUCCUCGUCAGCUCUCGUUGA